rnacentral:miRNA from 1 species
ACUAAAAAUAAUCGAAGU